AUUGAACGCUGGCGGCAGGCUUAACACAUGCAAGUCGAGCGGAGAGAGGUAGUUUGCUACUGAUCUUAGCGGCGGACGGGUGAGUAAUGCUUAGGAAUCUGCCUAUUAGUGGGGGACAACAUUUCGAAAGGAAUGCUAAUACCGCAUACGUCCUACGGGAGAAAGCAGGGGAUCUUCGGACCUUGCGCUAAUAGAUGAGCCUAAGUCGGAUUAGCUAGUUGGUGGGGUAAAGGCCUACCAAGGCGACGAUCUGUAGCGGGUCUGAGAGGAUGUACCGCCACACUGGGACUGACACACGGCCCAGAAUCCUACGGGAGGCAGCAAUGGGGAAUAUUGGACAAUGGGCGCAAGCCUGAUCCAGCCAUGCCGCGUGUGUGAAGAAGGCCUUAUGGUUGUAAAGCACUUUAAGCGAGGAGGAGGCUACUUUAGAUAAUACCUAGAGAUAGUGGACGUUACUCGCAGAAUAAGCACCGGCUAACUCUGUGCCAGCAGCCGCCGUAACAC
rnacentral:rRNA from 1 species